UGGCGAACGGGUGAGUAACACGUGGGUGAUCUGCCCUGCACUUCGGGAUAAGCCUGGGAAACUGGGUCUAAUACCGGAUAGGGCGAUGGUUUGGAUGCCAUUGUGGAAAGUUUUUCGGUGUGGGAUGAGCUCGCGGCCUAUCAGCUUGUUGGUGGGGUAAUGGCCUACCAAGGCGUCGACGGGUAGCCGGCCUGAGAGGGUGUACGGCCACAUUGGGACUGAGAUACGGCCCAG
rnacentral:rRNA from 1 species